rfam:Hordeum vulgare subsp. vulgare, WGS project CAJW01000000 data, contig: morex_contig_1585333
CCUCUCGACAAUGAGGAAUGGUGUCCUAUAUUCUUGCCGGACUAGACUAUGAUUACAUAUCGUUUGUCUCCUCCAUCUAUGCCGCAAGAACUGAACCAAUCAAGGUAGCUGAACCUUAUUCUCAACUGAUCAAUUUUGAAA